rnacentral:misc_RNA from 1 species
GAUGAAGAACGUAGCGAAACGCGAUACGUAAUGUGAAUUGCAAAUUCAGUGAAUCAUCGAGUCUUUGAACGCACAUUGCGCCCCCUGGUAUUCCGGGGGGCAUGCCUGUCCGAGCGUCAUUGCUGCCCUCAAGCACGGCUUGUGUGUUGGGCCCCGUCCUCCGAUUCCGGGGGACGGGCCCGAAAGGCAGCGGCGGCACCGCGUCCGGUCCUCGAGCGUAUGGGGCUUUGUCACCCGCUCUGUAGGCCCGGCCGGCGCUUGCCGAUCAACCCAAAUAUUUAUCCAGGUUGACCUCGGAUCAGGUAGGGAUACCCGCUGAACUUAAGCAUAUCAAUAAGCGGAGGA